UGUUUAUAUUUUCCAGGUAUAUAAGUCUUUAAGAUAGAAGAUUUAAAAGAGAAUUAUAUCAAGCUGAUGUUCUCCAUAAGGUUUCAUGAUCUACAGGUGGUUUGGAACAGUUUGGCUUUGGGCUGAAAGCUGGGUUCUUCUGAGAGGUCCUGAAAGGCCUCUGCUCUGAAUCAGCAAACUGCUUCUUCUAUCAACAUUUCACAGGACAAAGCAAGUCAUGAGGCUGUACCUGACAUCAACUGGGCAGGGAAGUAGAUUCCUGCUAAAAAAGAUGGCCAGGAUGAGGAUGGAGGAGAGAAUUCUGAGUCAAUAAUACAUUUUAGCACAAUAGCCAACAGUUCCAGAAUGCUGUCUCUAUUUUGCUCAUUUAUUUAUCUAGUUAUAAUAGUGACUGGUCAAAAUAAGAAAUGAAUUGGAUCUUUCUUUUGUGAACAUGUUUAAUUCCCCGAUUAAAAAAAAAAUGUUUUUCUUAAAGAUUACAUCACAUUAUAUAAGCAAUUGUUUAUUUAAUUGAAAAGUUUACACAAAGAACCACUAAAUAUUUGUGCAGGUUACCUAGGGUAAUGUGUCACUUGGAUAUUUUCAUACACUGCAUUAUUGUGGCAGUAGUGUGUGCUGCAUUUCUUGGGGUAAACAUUCAACCAUGGAUGGAAUCAGAAAAAUUUAGUGACUCUUACUUAGGAAAAAGGACCUCCUUUCUAAUCUUCUUUAAGAUGUUCUUUCUUUAACUAUACCAUUUCUUUCCCUGUGGGGCUAGUAUUUAAUUAAUAGAAGCUCUAAAUUGCUGAAAUAAUUUAAUUCUUAUGCUUUGAUUCUUGUUCUGAGUGCAGUUGUAGAAAGCUUUGUAAGUGUAAUGAACAAUAUGUAAGUCAGUAAAUGAAGCUGAGUGGUAAGGGAAAUCAGUACAAAGUCAAUUUUGCUUUCUUUGUAUCAUUGGCAAACCAUGGCCCAUGGAGCAAGUGUGGCCCCCAUUUAGUUUUGCAAAUAAAGUUUUAUUGAAACACGGCCAUGCACAUUCAACUAUGUGCUCAUACUGCAGUAGCAGGGUUGAGUACUUGUAACAAAUAUUAUUAAAUUCAGAAAGUGUAAGGUGUUUACUCUUUGGUUCUUUAUGGGAAACUUUUUCAUCCCUUGUAUUAUUAUAAUGCUAAAAAGCAGUUUCAAAAAUAUAAAUGUUAUAAGAUGUAAAUACUUUAAUUUCUUAAAACACAAAAUGGUUAUUUUUCACACUCACAUCCACUGGAGGUCUGAUAUUUUGUGAGGAAUAUCUUGUAACCCUUGUGAGUACAAGUCAGUAUAGGUUAGGUUAUAGUUCAAUAACAAACAUCCCCCAAUUCUCAGGGCCUUAACAUAAUAAGUUUAUUUCUCAUUCCUGCUAAAGGCCUAUUAUGGAUCAGCAGAGUUAUGCCAGGAUCUAGGCUGUGGGAGCAGCUACUAUCAGGAGAAUGUCUGGCCACUCAGCAGAGGCAAAAGGAGUACUGAUAUUAAAGUUUCUAUCCAGAAGUGACACACUACACUUUUCCAUUACCAAAUUUCAGAAAAAGAACAGUUCCACAGGAAAUGAUGGACACAUUCAGGA